rnacentral:sRNA from 1 species
UCACUGCCAACACAGGGCCUACCUGGGAUUUGACCAGAGUCCGCCUGGCUCCAGUCUCUGCCACCCACAGGAAGAAGAAACUACACUGCUACACUGACAGAUGUGAGGCAGUGUUUCCCCUUCAGUCUUUGAACAGGCUUUGUGUUUUCUAAAUGACACUUGAAAAAAGGGAAUUCAUUCAAGAGCUCCAAGGCUUCCCUUUCCGCCCGGCUUCUGUUGCCCUGGCCUGAGCAGCGAGCAGCUGGGAGGGGACUGAACUGCCCCUAACCAGGGUUGUGGCUGGUGGGGUUGGGACUAGGGCUGGGCAGGUGGCUGGGAUUGGGCCCAUCUCCCAAGUGUGGUGGGUUUCAGGGGUCCAUAGGGAAAGGGUCACCUGCAGAUCCUUGUACAAAGCCCAGCACAAGGCCCAGAAUGGGCCUGGAGCUGAGGGUGGGCCCCUGGCCUGCGUGGAUGAGGAAGGCCUCGGAGGCUGGGGAGAGCUUUCCAGUUGGGUGCAGGAUGGGUGGGCUGGUUCAGGAAGAGCAGCCACCUGUGCCCAUUGGUCCCUUAUUCCCCAGGUGUGGUGCAUCCAGGACUUACACAGGCAGCCCGUGGACCCCAAGCGUCACGGACAGCUGUGUGCAGGCAACUGCUACCUUGUGCUCUACACAUACCAGAGGCUGGCCCGUGUCCAGUACAUCCUGUACCUAUGGCAGGUGCGCCAGCCUGAGGGAGGCUGCACUUACCUUAAAGCCCAAGGGCUGGGCUCUGGGAGUGAAAUGUGAGAGCUGGGCCAGGCCCUCACUCACUGCCCCUACCUGCAGGGCCACCAGGCCACUGCAGAUGAGAUUGAGGCCCUGAACAGCAACGCUGAGGAGCUAGAUGUCAUGUAUGGUGGCGCCCUAGUACAGGAGCAUGUGACCAUGGGCAGCGAGCCCCCCCACUUCCUCGCCAUCUUCCAGGGCCAGCUGGUGAUCUUCCAGGUAGGUCUCACCUUGCCACUCUGGCCACAGCCUGCCCAGUUCUGUAUGGGCCAUGGCCCCCCCACACACUUCUAAGCACCUUCUCUUUGGGCCUGGGGCCUGCUUAUCAUCCCCUAAUUUCCCAGAGCUUGUCCAAGGCCCAGGAGCUCCAAGGUUGGCCCCUGCCUGAGUUUCCCUCCCCAGCCCCAAAGCCAGAUGAGGAAUUUAAGUUGAAAGGGAGCCAGGGGCUGCACACUAGCAAACCUGGUCCCCACUUUCCACCUCCAAGGCCUGAGCACCCAUGCCCCGACCACUCAGAGAUGGGGGGAAAGGUCCAUUUAGAAAGGGUCUGUCCCUGUCCCAGACUGAUGGGAUUCCUGCACUCCACACUUAGAGGGUCCUGUACUCCUCAUGUGAAAUCACCAGUGAGGGCCUUGGUGGCUUCAAGCAAGGGUCCCUGAGCUCUGAGGCAAUAUGUCCCACACUGGGACAGGAAGGCGCCCCUGGGAGCCCUUGCCCAGCCUGAGGCCUUGCUCUCCUAUAGGAGAGAGCUGGGCACCAUGGAAAGGGGCAGUCAGCAUCCACCACAAGGCUUUUCCAAGUGCAAGGCACCGACAGCCACAACACCAGGACCGUGGAGGUGCCAGCCCGUGCCUCAUCCUUCAACUCCAGUGACAUCUUCUUGCUGGUCACAGCCAGCGUCUGCUACCUCUGGUUUGGGAAGGUACCCACAGCACUGACCACUUGACUCAUGCCCAGAUGUAGUGGUGCCAGGCUGGGGGUGGGUCCUCUCCACAGGGGAUGCAGACUUUGAGUCCAGCCUCAGAUAGGCCGAUGGGGGGAAUGGGGAGGGGAAGAAGCCACAGUGUCCCCUCUAGAACUUGGGGAAAGUUACAAAGUGACAGUUGGACCUGAGAGUCCACAGGUCAGAGCCAGGCCCAGGCCGCCUCCCCUCCUUACUGCCUGGAGCACAGGGCAUGUCCCUUCCCAGGUCUCUUGGGAAAAGGGGAGGCCUAUGCCAGUUUGCUGGAGUUUUCUCUAAUUUUCAGCAUAAACUAUGACUGACCCUCUAAGCCUGGGGGCCUCCUAUCCCAUGCUCUGGACCCUGUGAGGGUCCCAGACCCUGUGAUCCAGAUCAGCUGGGGACACAGGCCUGGAGGGUGAGGAAGAUGCCUUGUUCACCGGUGUCCUGCUGUCAGCUUAGGCCUCCUGUGACUUGGGCCCAGCCCCACCUCAUACACCCUGUGAAUGGGAUGUGGGCCGGAGGUGAAGGCCCCUCCUUGUGCAGGGCCUGAGCCAUCUCUUUGCCUGCUAGGGCUGUAAUGGUGAUCAGCGUGAGAUGGCACGGGUGGUGGUCACUGUCAUUUCCAGGAAGAACGAGGAAACGGUGCUGGAGGGUCAGGAGCCUCCCCACUUCUGGGAGGCCCUGGGAGGCCGGGCCCCCUACCCCAGCAACAAGAGGUAACAGGGUUGGGAGGAGAGUGUUCUUACCCAGAGGAGGAAUUGAGGCCCAGAGAGGAGGGUGGGUGACUGGGAUUCACACAGAGAGCUGGCGAGACAAGACUAGAACCAAGGACUCUCAGCUUCCCACUCACAGAGGCUCCCACGAGUACAGCCCGCGCUUCACUCCCAGGCCUGGGUAACUUGGGUCUCGAAGAUGCUGGGGAGGGUAGGGGCAGUGGCGACCUCUGCUGGCAGCAUCCCCUCCCUGCCAGCAGGGACAAAGCACCCUUCCCCACCCUACAGUCCUCAGGGAUCACGGUGCCCAGUGUGUGUGUAUACAGUGUCAUAUGAUGUGUGGGUAUACAGUGCGUGUGGAUGUGCAAGAACAGGUGUAUUCGGGGUGUUGUGUGUGUGGUGUGUAAGUGGACAGGGUGUGUGUAGGAGGUAGGAGUGAGGCCUCAAGGGGAGGAGGGAGCUGAGUCCUGGUCGCUCUUGGUCUGCCUGUGGGGCUUGGCUUAUGUGCUGCACUCCCCACAAUUCUCCUGAGCUCAGUACUCUCGUCCCCUUCUCCCAGCCUGGCUUCCCUCCUUCCACUUUGAGCCGGAGACCUACUCUCUGCCAGGGGUGGGCUGAGGAGCUCCUCCUAUCCCAGGGAGGGCGAGACUCCAGCUCAGGCCCUCCCCUUCCCCUGCAGCCCUCUCCUAGGGAAAUUCAUGGGGCACUUUGCAUCACAGCUGGGUGGGGCGAGAGCUUUCUCCAUGAGCAGAGAGGGAUCCUGCACCCAGAGCAGAGCAGAGUGCUCAGGGAGUGAACCACGGGGCUCAGAGGAGGGCCCAGGGCUCCCACUCCUGAGAAGUGGCUUCCCAACCCCCUGGGGUGGGGCACUUGUGCCAUGGGCUGGGGUGCCCCUCUGGGUGGCUCACAGCCUUGCUGUCCGUGCUGGCCAGGCUCCCUGAGGAGGUCCCUAGCUUCCAGCCACGACUGUUUGAGUGCUCCAGCCACAUGGGCUGCCUGGUCCUCGCAGAAGUGGUGUUCUUCAGCCAGGAGGACCUGGACAAGUAUGACAUCAUGUUACUGGACACCUGGCAGGAGAUCUUCCUGUGGCUUGGGGAAGCUGCGAGUGAGUGGAAGGAGGCGGUGGCCUGGGGCCAGGAGUACCUGAAGACCCACCCAGCAGGGAGGAGCCCGGCCACACCCAUCGUGCUGGUCAAGCAGGGCCACGAGCCUCCCACCUUCACUGGAUGGUUCUUCACUUGGGACCCCUACAAGUGGACUAGCCACCCGUCCCACAAGGAAGUGGUGGAUGGCAGCCCGGCAGCAGCAUCAACCAUCUCUGAGAUAACAGCAGUGAGUCCUGGGGGCCCUAGCCUUCCCCACAGUGGCCUGGGCUCCGACGGCAUGGUCCCGAUGGGCAGGGGAAAUGCCAGGCCCUGGUAGGUGGGAGGGGCUAAAGUUGGAGCCAAGAGGCCUGUGGGUUCAGUGCAGCCUCCCUGUGGGCUACUGAUUCCCCAUCUUCCCCAGCCUGAGGCUCCUCUCUGGACAGGAAGUCAACAACUUCCGGCUAUCCAGAUGGCCGGGCAAUGGCAGGGCAGGUGCCGUGGCCCUGCAGGCCCUCAAGGGCUCCCAGGACGGCUCAGAGAAUGAGCUGGUGCGAAGCCCCAAGUCGGGUGGCAGCAGAACCAGCAGCUCCGUCAGCAGCACCAGCGCCACGAUCAACGGGGGCCUGCGCCGGGAACAACUGAUGCACCAGGCCGUUGAGGACCUGCCAGAGGGCGUGGACCCUGCCCGCAGGGAGUUCUAUCUCUCAGACUCUGACUUCCAAGACAUCUUUGGGAAAUCCAAGGAGGAAUUCUACAGCAUGGCCACGUGGAGGCAGCGGCAGGAGAAAAAGCAGCUGGGCUUCUUCUGAACCCAAGCCCUCUCGACUGCCCCAUCCCCUCGACCCCAACAUACCUACAAUGCUGGGGAGGCCCUGCUUCCACUCCCCUCAGAGGCUUCUGGUCAUCCUCUGCUUGUCAGUAAAAGCAGGCAGCCCAU